rnacentral:lncRNA from 1 species
UUUCCUAUCAAUUUGAGGGGCAGUAUCAUGAGCUUAUUACCUAGGGGAACUUCACAGUAAUGCUUGAAACAACAAAUGAGUGCGUUUCAUCUGUAUGGCUUAGAAGAAGGAGGAUCCUCACUCUGCUAAGUUUACUAGUGUAAGAAAAGAACUAUUGGAUGCUUCUAGUGAACUUUGCCUUUUCAAGUUGUGGGUGGUGAAGUAUUAACCUCUCUGAAUUCGAAAGAAAGUGACAGUACGUUUCCA